AGUGAACGCUGGCGGUAGGCCUAACACAUGCAAGUCGAACGGCAGCACAGUAAGAGCUUGCUCUGACGGGUGGCGAGUGGCGGACGGGUGAGGAAUACAUCGGAAUCUACUUUUUCGGGGGGGAUAACGUAGGGAAACUUAAGCUAAUACCGCAUACGACCUACGGGUGAAAGCAGGGGAUCUUCGGACCUUGCGCGAUUGAAUGAGCCGAUGUCGGAUUAGCUAGUUGGCGGGGUAAAGGCCCACCAAGGCGACGAUCCGUAGCUCGUCUGAGAGGAUGAUCAGCCACACUGGAACUGAGACACGGUCCAGACUCCUACGGGAGGCAGCAGUGGGGAAUAUUGGACAAUGGGCGCAAGCCUGAUCCCGCCAUACCGCGUGGGUGAAGAAGGCCUUCGGGUUGUAAAGCCCUUUUGUUGGGAAAGAAAAGCAGCAGGUUAAUACCCCGCUGUUCUGACGGUACCCAAAGAAUAAGCACCGGCUAACUUCGUG
rnacentral:rRNA from 1 species